UCUUAAUUUGCCUCAAAACAUCACCGGGGCGAAAUGCUUCUGUGGAUUUAUUUUGUUUUAUUUUCAGCAGCCAUCAGAGAUGUCCAAUCAGAGAUUCAACUGGGAGAAUCUGGAGGGGACGUAAAAAGGCCAGGAGAGUCCCUCCGCCUCACCUGCCGAACCUCUGGCUUCACCUUCAGCAGCUACAACAUGAACUGGGUGCGACAGGUUCCUGGAAAGGGAUUGGAAUGGGUUGCCUUUAUUGCUACCACUACUAUAUACUAUGCAGACUCAGUGAAGGGUCGAUUUACUAUCUCCAGGGACAAUUCCAUCAGCACACUCUACUUGCAGAUGAGUGGUUUGAAGGUGGAAGAUUCAGGCUUGUACUACUGUGCUAGAGACACAGUGACUGAAAAGCUAGCAGUCAGCGGACAAAAUCUUCGGUCUUCUUGA